CUACUAGCCACUGCUUAAAACUCAAAGGACUUGGCGGUGCCCUAGACCCUCCUAGAGGAGCCUGUUCUAUAAUCGAUAAACCCCGAUACACCUCACCCCUUCUAGCUUAUCAGUCUAUAUACCGCCAUCGUCAGCUCACCCCAAUAGGGCCCAGAAGUGAGCAAAAUCAUGAAACCAUAAAAACGUUAGGUCAAGGUGUAGCAUAUGAAGGGGGAAGCGAUGGGCUACAUUUUCUACAUUAGAACAUUACGGAUUGUCUAUUGAAACAAAGACAUGAAGGAGGAUUUAGUAGUAAAUUAAGAAUAGAGAGCUUAAUUGAAAUAGGCAAUAGGGUGCGUACACACCGCCCGUCACCCUCCUCAAUAAAGUAACCUUCCAUACCUAAUAAGAAUACGCAAAAAAGAGGAGAAAAGUCGUAACAUGGUAAGUGUACUGGAAAGUGCACUUGGACAAUC
rnacentral:rRNA from 1 species